rnacentral:ncRNA from 1 species
UUUUUUCUUAACAUACACAUGCAAGCAUCCACCACCCUGUGAAAACGCCCUUUAACCCCUUCUAGGGGUAAGGAGCCGGUAUCAGGCACGAUAAUCUGCCCAAAACACCUAGCUUUGCCACACCCACAAGGGAACUCAGCAGUGAUUAACAUUGAGCAUAAGCGCAAGCUUGACUCAGUUAAAGUAAAAUAGAGCCGGCCAAUCUGGUGCCAGCCGCCGCGGUUACACCACGUGACUCAAAUUGACCCUAUCCGGCGUAAAGCGUGAUUAAAGUUCCUUAUAAUUUUAGAGUUAAACCAAGACCGAGCUGUGACACGCCUGUUUAUCAAGAAACUCAGAGACGAAAGUUAUUCUAACACAACCAACUUGAAUUCACGACAGCUGGGAAACAAACUGGGAUUAGAUACCCCACUAUGCCCAGCCAUAAACCUUUAUUUACACCCCCAUAAUCGCCAGGGAACUACGAGCUAAGCUUAAAACCCAAAGGACUUGACGGUACCCCAUAUCCCCCUAGAGGAGCCUGUCCUAUAAUCGAUAAUCCACGUUAAACCUCACCAUUCCUAGUUAUCAGCCUGUAUACCUCCGUCGUCAGCUUACCACGUGAGCGCCAAUUAGUGAGCUUAAUGUUUCUUCUCCAACACGUCAGGUCAAGGUGCAGCAAAUGAAAUGGAAAGAGAUGGGCUACACUUUCUACAUUAGAAAAAACGAAAAACUUUAUGAAAUCUAGUUCGAAGGUGGAUUUAGCAGUAAAAAAGAAUCAGAAUGUCUAUUUUAACCGGGCGCUGGGGUGUGUACACACCGCCCGUCACCCUCUUCAAAGCCACUAACAAAGUUUUUAACAAACCGAGGCUCAAUAGAAGAGGCAAGUCGUAACAUGGUAAGUAUACCGGAAGGUGUGCUUGGAAA